GCCGGGGUGGCGAAAUGGUAAACGCACAGCUCUCAAAAAGCUGCGGCCGAAAUGGCCUUGCGGGUUCAACUCCCGCCCCCGGCA
rnacentral:tRNA from 1 species